rnacentral:rRNA from 1 species
GACGAACGCUGGCGGCGUGCCUAACACAUGCAAGUCGAACGGGGUUGUUCCUUCGGGGACAACUUAGUGGCGAACGGGUGAGUAACGCGUGAGAAACCUGCCUUUCAGUGGGGGACGAACAGUUGGAAACGACUGCUAAUACCGCAUAAUGUAUUUUUAGGGCAUCCUUUAAAUACCAAAGAUUUAUUGCUGAAAGAUGGUCUCGCGUCUGAUUAGCUAGAUGGCGGGGUAACGGCCCACCAUGGCGACGAUCAGUAGCCGGUCUGAGAGGAUGAACGGCCACAUUGGGACUGAGAUACGGCCCAG